GACAUUGAGUGCCUGGAGCCCUCCCUAGCUCUCCAGCUGGAACCUUCCUCUGUAGGAAGGCUGAGGCUAGCAGGGAGAAGCCAGGAUGGAUUUUAAAGAGCCUUGUUGUCUCUAAGGAAGAGUGGAGCUUACAUCUUUGGGUUUGCAGAAAUGCCCACAUUCAACUCAGGGGGAAUAAAAGGAUGGGAGUUAGAAUUUCAACUUGCAGUUGCAGAAUCUCAGAGUUAAAAGAAACCUCAGAGGUCAUCUCUUCCAACCCUUCUCCAGAGCAGCUUUAAUUGCCUGUGUGGGAGAUUCAGGGCCAGCAGCUGCAGCUUCCCUUUCCCUGCCUCUGACUUGCCAGAAUCCUGUUACACCUGGGAUUUAGGCACUUUCAAUCUGAAAAAAUACAUAUCCUUUCAGCACUCUGGACGGACUUGAGAACUGUCCUUACGUGACCUAAAGCUGGAGUAUUUUGAGAUUGGAGAAUUAAGGCCAACAGAGAUUUUGAGAAACACAUUGAAGGAUCUGUUAACACUUGAUAUACCCAAUAAAAGCAGUGGUUGUGCCAGUGCUGAUCUGUCUUGAUGUGAAUGUGAACAAUGGGAACCUGAGCUGAGCAGUUAAUGCUAGGGUGACAGAAACUGGACCUCUCCCAAGACAUGUGACAGAGUAAUACAGCAGCCAACUUCUUCGCCAAAUUAAAGUUUUACAAGAUUUAACCUGUCAUCAAGACCUGGGAUUUUGGUGAGCCAGUCUUGGUGCUCUGUGUUCACCUGGUUCAUCUGAGGAGCUGCAUCUACCCUGCCCAUGCCAUAGAUCCUGCCCUGUUUGCUUCUCCUGUUGCUGCUAGUGGACAUGAGAAGGACAGAAUAACGGGCUCCCAGAUUCACAAGCCCCACCAAGAGGAUCACCCCAGGAACGCUUGGAGGCUGAGGAGUUCACUGAGGCUACUGCAUCUUGAGACUCAGGAUGAAGACCCAGCUUGGGGCUGUCAAAGGUUUUUUGCAUGUCUGACACCCAUGACUCCACCUGGACCUUAUGGCUCCACCCAGAAGCAAUUCAGCCCAACAGGAGGACAGCUUCAACCCAUUACGAUUUCAUCUCUGCCCCAACCACUCAGCAGCAAGCACCUGUUACCUGUCCACCCCCACCCCUUCCCCCAAACUGCCUUUGAAAAAUCCCUAACCUAUGAGCUUUGAAUAAGAUGAGUACGAACUUCAUCGCCCACGUGGCGUGGCCGGCCUCGUGUCUAUUAAAUUCUUUUUCUACUACAAUGCCGU
rnacentral:lncRNA from 1 species